rnacentral:rRNA from 1 species
AAAUUGAAGAGUUUGAUCAUGGCUCAGAUUGAACGCUGGCGGCAGGCCUAACACAUGCAAGUCGAGCGGUAGCACAGAGAGCUUGCUCUCGGGUGACGAGCGGCGGACGGGUGAGUAAUGUCUGGGAAACUGCCUGAUGGAGGGGGAUAACUACUGGAAACGGUAGCUAAUACCGCAUAACGUCGCAAGACCAAAGUGGGGGACCUUCGGGCCUCAUGCCAUCAGAUGUGCCCAGAUGGGAUUAGCUAGUAGGUGGGGUAACGGCUCACCUAGGCGACGAUCCCUAGCUGCUGGUCUGAGAGGAUGACCAGCCACACUGGAACUGAGACACGGUCCAGACUCCUACGGGAGGCAGCAGUGGGGAAUAUUGCACAAUGGGCGCAAGCCUGAUGCAGCCAUGCCGCGUGUGUGAAGAAGGCCUUCGGGUUGUAAAGCACUUUCAGCGGGGAGGAAGGCGUUAAGGUUAAUAACCUUGGCGAUUGACGUUACCCGCAGAAGAAGCACCGGCUAACUCCGUGCCAGCAGCCGCGGUAAUACGGAGGGUGCAAGCGUUAAUCGGAAUUACUGGGCGUAAAGCGCACGCAGGCGGUCUGUCAAGUCGGAUGUGAAAUCCCCGGGCUCAACCUGGGAACUGCAUUCGAAACUGGCAGGCUAGAGUCUUGUAGAGGGGGGUAGAAUUCCAGGUGUAGCGGUGAAAUGCGUAGAGAUCUGGAGGAAUACCGGUGGCGAAGGCGGCCCCUGGACAAAGACUGACGCUCAGGUGCGAAAGCGUGGGGAGCAAACAGGAUUAGAUACCCUGGUAGUCCACGCCGUAAACGAUGUCGAUUUGGAGGUUGUGCCCUUGAGGCGUGGCUUCCGGAGCUAACGCGUUAAAUCGACCGCCUGGGGAGUACGGCCGCAAGGUUAAAACUCAAAUGAAUUGACGGGGGCCCGCACAAGCGGUGGAGCAUGUGGUUUAAUUCGAUGCAACGCGAAGAACCUUACCUGGUCUUGACAUCCACAGAACUUUCCAGAGAUGGAUUGGUGCCUUCGGGAACUGUGAGACAGGUGCUGCAUGGCUGUCGUCAGCUCGUGUUGUGAAAUGUUGGGUUAAGUCCCGCAACGAGCGCAACCCUUAUCCUUUGUUGCCAGCGGUUAGGCCGGGAACUCAAAGGAGACUGCCAGUGAUAAACUGGAGGAAGGUGGGGAUGACGUCAAGUCAUCAUGGCCCUUACGACCAGGGCUACACACGUGCUACAAUGGCAUAUACAAAGAGAAGCGACCUCGCGAGAGCAAGCGGACCUCAUAAAGUAUGUCGUAGUCCGGAUUGAGUCUGCAACUCGACUCCAUGAAGUCGGAAUCGCUAGUAAUCGUAGAUCAGAAUGCUACGGUGAAUACGUUCCCGGGCCUUGUACACACCGCCCGUCACACCAUGGGAGUGGGUUGCAAAAGAAGUAGGUAGCUUAACCUUCGGGAGGGCGCUUACCACUUUGUGAUUCAUGACUGGGGUGAAGUCGUAACAAGGUAACCGUAGGGGAACCUGCGGUUGGAUCACCUCCUUACCUUAAAGAA